UGGGGAAUUUUGGACAAUGGGGGCAACCCUGAUCCAGCAAUGCCGCGUGUGUGAAGAAGGCCUUCGGGUUGUAAAGCACUUUUGUCCGGAAAGAAAACUUCGGGGCUAAUACCCCUGGAGGAUGACGGUACCGGAAGAAUAAGCACCGGCUAACUACGUGCCAGCAGCCGCGGUAAAACGUAGGGUGCGAGCGUUAAUCGGAAUUACUGGGCGUAAAGCGUGCGCAGGCGGUGCUGUAAGACCGAUGUGAAAUCCCCGGGCUUAACCUGGGAACUGCAUUGGUGACUGCAGCGCUGGAGUAUGGCAGAGGGGGGUGGAAUUCCACGUGUAGCAGUGAAAUGCGUAGAGAUGUGGAGGAACACCGAUGGCGAAGGCAGCCCCCUGGGCCAAUACUGACGCUCAUGCACGAAAGCGUGGGGAGCAAACAGG
rnacentral:rRNA from 1 species